AUUGAACGCUGGCGGCAUGCCUUACACAUGCAAGUCGAACGGCAGCACGGGAGCAAUCCUGGUGGCGAGUGGCGAACGGGUGAGUAAAGUAUCGGAACGUGCCCAGUCGUGGGGGAUAACGUAGCGAAAGUUACGCUAAUACCGCAUACGAUCUAUGGAUGAAAGCGGGGGAUCGCAAGACCUCGCGCGAUUGGAGCGGCCGAUAUCAGAUUAGGUAGGUGGUGGGGUAAAGGCUCACCAAGCCGACGAUCUGUAGCUGGUCUGAGAGGACGAACAGGCAGACCGGGAAGUAGACACGGGCCAGACUCCUACGGGGAGGAGCAGUGGGGAAUUUUGGACAAUGGGCGCAAGCCUGAUCCAGCCAUGCCGCGUGCAGGAUGAAGGCCUUCGGGUUGUAAACUGCUUUUGUACGGAACGAAAAGGUUUGACUUAAUACGUUGGACUCAUGACGGUACCGUAAGAAUAAGCACCGGCUAACUACGUGCCAGCAGCCGCCGUAA
rnacentral:rRNA from 1 species